AUUUAUCUAGUAUAAACAAAUUACAUUUAACUUCCAAUUAAAAAAUUUAACAAAAUAGUUAAUAUAAAUA
rnacentral:tRNA from 1 species